rnacentral:rRNA from 1 species
UACGUAGGGUGCAAGCGUUAUCCGGAAUUAUUGGGCGUAAAGAGCUCGUAGGCGGUUUGUCACGUCUGCUGUGAAAACUGGAGGCUCAACCUCCAGCCUGCAGUGGGUACGGGCAGACUAGAGUGCGGUAGGGGAGAUUGGAAUUCCUGGUGUAGCGGUGGAAUGCGCAGAUAUCAGGAGGAACACCGAUGGCGAAGGCAGAUCUCUGGGCUGACACUGACGCUCAUGCACGAAAGCGUGGGGAGCAAACAGG